UAACACUAACCUUUAAACAGUCCCUCUGUGUCUCUGUGUGUGCUCAACAUCUGGAAUCAGGAUUUCAUUCAGGCUGCAUUGACUGUGGGACUUUUCUCUGUUAAAAACAGGUUGAAGACGGCUCAGAAACAUUUGAAGAUUAAAAUUUAGCGUUAUGGCUGCUCGUGGUGUGUAAAGCUUCUACUCAGCUGUAUUUUUGUUACUAAUUUAUGUUUGUUGUUGCUUAACACAGAUUUCAGAAGAGCAAAUAUGAGCACUGUUGCUUAAUCCUUAAUAGUUUAAGUGGAUUGGAAAUAAAAAAAAAUCCAGAUUCUUCUUCCACAGAAGUUUCAUUUGUCAGUGUGGGACUGCUGAGUCACCUGAAGAACUCAUUUCAUUCUCCAUGAUGUUCAUUUACAGAAAUGUUUCACAGGAACUGAUUCCUCCCAUAGGGUGAACUAGUGUGUUUCCAUAAUGAUAUGUUUUUCAUAUCUCAUUAUGAAUGUACUUCUUAAAUGAUCACCGGGGGAAGAAAAGAAGCAGACGUACUUCCAAGAGGGAGCUGCAGUGAGGACACAGCCUGGUCACUGAGGUCAGAGGAGGCGCUGAAAGGUUUCCCUAAUAGUUCCUGGUGAAUCAAAGCAGGACCAUAAAGGUUGCUGGACUGUAUGAUGGCUGUACAGUACAAUCCUACUGACACAGCAGAGGGAUAACGACGGUUAUUCAACAUCGUUACACGACACAUUCGAGCUGCAUGAUGCAGACAAAGUGACUAAAUCAUCUUUUUGUGGUCUAUUGUCUUCAAACCAGCAGACAAAGCCGAUGGCAGAAGAUGUUUGGAGAAGAACUUCAGGCCGUGUACUGACAAGUAGAUCAAAGCAGCUCGUGCUCUGUCUGCUUCCAUUCUGAUGGCAAGAAGAAGGAGAAGAAUGCUUCAGCGAAGUGGCGUUCAUGGUCUCAGUGGACAGUCAUGGUCACACACUGCAUGUGGUUUUAAAAGCAACAUGUCUGUUCACCACAACAAUGGAGAUGUGUAAUAUUAGUGCAGCUACGGUUUGUUCUUGAACAUCAGUUCUGUUUUCUACUUUGACCACUUAGACCAAAAAAAGUGUUGUUUUCAGAUUCUUUCUUAUAAAUCUGUAAAUCACCUGUUCAUUUUUUAUUACAAUUAGUUUCACAUAAAUGUUAGUGUUUCCUUUAUGAUCUUUUAAUGCUUACACUACACUGUACACGUCUACAUUAGAGACAUUUCUAAUGUAGAGUAUGAGACUGGGCUGCUUGACUACGAUUUGGAAAUGGAUGCAAAAUCACACGGAUCGUGCUAUUGUUUGUUUUUUAAUAUGAUGGACUGAACACAGGAGGUAUCUGACUAAGCAAACAUUAGUCCGAUCCCAUUUCUACCUGUCUCUACUGUUUCAACUGUAACUGUCAGGAUAUAUAUUUAUUCCAGCUCUCACAGGACAAAGGAAUGACUCAGACUUGUCAAAUGUUCUUUGACUUGAUACACAAUAUGAAGUUCACAAUUUUCUUACAAAUAAAACUAUAAUGACAAACAUGAA